UGCCAGCCGCCGCGGUAAUACGAAGGGCCCGAGCGUUAAUCGGAAUCACUGGGCUUAAAGGGUGUGUAGGCUGUUUUGUAAGUAUCUUGUGAAAUCCCAAGGCUCAACCUUGGAACUGCUGGGUAUACUGCAAAACUUGAGGUCGGUAGGGGCAGCUGGAACAAUAGGUGGAGCGGUGAAAUGCGUAGAUAUCUAUUGGAACGCCAAAGGCGAAGGCAAGCUGCUGGGCCGAAUCUGACGCUGAGACACGAAAGCGUGGGUAUCGAACGGGAUUAGAUA
rnacentral:rRNA from 1 species